UGUCCUAAUUGGCAACCAUACAAAACAAGGGACUUUGGGGGGUUUGUGACCUUCCAGAUUUCUUCCAAGCCAGAAGCCUGUAGUGGACUGACUAUUCUUCUUCUUUCAGUAGCAAGAUUUAACUGUAAAAAUUCCUUUGUUGUGGAGCAUCUAGACAGGUUUGUCGGCUCCUAGGAGACAGAGUCAACAAUUGAAGGAUUCUUGCAAUCUAUGAUACUUCCCAGUCAUUUGUAGCUCUCUUGAAAACCAAAUUUAUCCUUGGGGAGUCCAAACUUG
rnacentral:misc_RNA from 1 species